AGUCAGCAGCCCCGGCCAACCAGGACGUGCCAGGUGGCAGAGACGCUGAUGCGGGAGGCCAUGCGGGAGGGAGCCACGUGGGCAAUCCGCGUGCGCAUAAUCGAAUGACUGAGAUCUGUUCCCGUGCGCACGGACGACUCGGAUCAAAAAUGCGCACAGACGACCCAGAUUGCAUCGCGCACGGAUAGCCCAGAUUGAAUCGCGCACGGACAGCCCAGAUUGAAUCGCGAUGAACAGUCCAGAUUCAUUCUCUAUUUAAUCACGAUCGGACAGUCCAGAUUAAAAGCGAUGGACAGCUCAGAUCAAAAGCGAAUGGGUAUAAAUAACCUCAUCCGCACUCAAACCCUAGCCCUAGUCGCCAGAG
rnacentral:lncRNA from 1 species